rnacentral:rRNA from 1 species
UUAUGGUUCUUAGAUCGUACAAUCCUACUUGGAUAACUGUGGUAAUUCUAGAGCUAAUACAUGCAACACAGCUCCGACCUUGCGGGAAGAGCGCUUUUAUUUGAUCAAAACCAAUCGGUCGCAAGGCCGUCUUCUUGGUGAAUCUGGAUAACUUUGUGCUGAUCGCACGGGCUUGCCCCGGCGACGUAUCUUUCAAAUGUCUGCCCUAUCAACUUUCGAUGGUACGUGAUAUGCCUACCAUGGUUGUAACGGGUAACGA